CACAGUUACACACACACAGAAACACACAUUGACACAUACUUAAACACGCACUAAAGGUGCACCCUGACACAGAUAGAAACACACACACAGAUACACAAACACACACAGAUGCCAACUGACACAGAUACAUACACUGACACACAUACAUGCACAUACAUAUGAGAUACAGACACUGACAUACAUGCAAAUAAACAGACACACACACACACACACACAGAUACACACUCAGGUGCAAACUGACACACAUAUACAUACAGACACACACAUACACCUCAAAUGCAUACACUGACACUCUGAUACAGACAGACACACAGAUACACAUACAC